rnacentral:rRNA from 2 species
AGAGUUUGAUCCUGGCUCAGGAUGAACGCUAGCGGCAGGCUUAACACAUGCAAGUCGAGGGGCAGCGGGGAGUAGCAAUACUCCGCCGGCGACCGGCGCACGGGUGCGUAACGCGUAUGCAACCUACCUUUAACAGGGGCAUAACACUGAGAAAUUGGUACUAAUUCCCCAUAACAUUCGAGAAGGCAUCUUCUUGGGUUAAAAACUCCGGUGGUUAAAGAUGGGCAUGCGUUGUAUUAGCUAGUUGGUGAGGUAACGGCUCACCAAGGCAACGAUACAUAGGGGGACUGAGAGGUUAACCCCCCACAUUGGUACUGAGACACGGACCAAACUCCUACGGGAGGCAGCAGUGAGGAAUAUUGGUCAAUGGACGCAAGUCUGAACCAGCCAUGCCGCGUGCAGGAAGACGGCUCUAUGAGUUGUAAACUGCUUUUGUACUAGGGUAAACGCUUCUACGUGUAGGAGCCUGAAAGUAUAGUACGAAUAAGGAUCGGCUAACUCCGUGCCAGCAGCCGCGGUAAUACGGAGGAUCCAAGCGUUAUCCGGAUUUAUUGGGUUUAAAGGGUGCGUAGGCGGUUUGAUAAGUUAGAGGUGAAAUACCGGGGCUCAACUCCGGAACUGCCUCUAAUACUGUUGAACUAGAGAGUAGUUGCGGUAGGCGGAAUGUAUGGUGUAGCGGUGAAAUGCUUAGAGAUCAUACAGAACACCGAUUGCGAAGGCAGCUUACCAAACUAUAUCUGACGUUGAGGCACGAAAGCGUGGGGAGCAAACAGGAUUAGAUACCCUGGUAGUCCACGCAGUAAACGAUGAUAACUCGUUGUCGGCGAUACACAGUCGGUGACUAAGCGAAAGCGAUAAGUUAUCCACCUGGGGAGUACGUUCGCAAGAAUGAAACUCAAAGGAAUUGACGGGGGCCCGCACAAGCGGAGGAACAUGUG